GACGAACGCUGGCGGCGUGCUUAACACAUGCAAGUCGAACGAAGAGCGAUGGAAGCUUGCUUCUAUCAAUCUUAGUGGCGAACGGGUGAGUAACGCGUAAUCAACCUGCCCUUCAGAGGGGGACAACAGUUGGAAACGACUGCUAAUACCGCAUACGAUCUAAUCUCGGCAUCGAGGAUAGAUGAAAGGUGGCCUCUACAUGUAAGCUAUCACUGAAGGAGGGGAUUGCGUCUGAUUAGCUAGUUGGAGGGGUAACGGCCCACCAAGGCGAUGAUCAGUAGCCGGUCUGAGAGGAUGAACGGCCACAUUGGGACUGAGACACGGCCCAGACUCCUACGGGAGGCAGCAGUGGGGAAUCUUCCGCAAUGGACGAAAGUCUGACGGAGCAACGCCGCGUGAGUGAUGACGGCCUUCCGGUUGUAAAGCUCUGUUAAUCGGGACGAAAGGCCUUCUUGCGAAUAGUGAGAAGGAUUGACGGUACCGGAAUAGAAAGCCACGGCUAACUACGUG
rnacentral:rRNA from 1 species